GUGCUCGCUUCCGGGGCACAUAUGCUGAAAUUGGAACCAUAUAAAGAAGAUUAGCUUGGCCCCUGCCCAAGGAUUAUACGCAAAUUCGUGAAACGUUCCAUAUUUUU